ensembl:lncRNA
CAUCACUCCAUGGUGUCCUGGUUCUCCUGGUCUCCUCCCAACAGAGGGAGAGAGAUGAGAGGAGAGGGAGAGGAGGGUGUUCUCUUCAUCACUCCAUGGUGUCCUGGUUCUCCUGGUCUCCUCCCACGGGGACAGAGGGAGAGGAGGGUGUUCUCUUCAUCACUCCAUGGUGUCCUGGUUCUCCUGGUCUCCUCCCAUGUAGACAGAGAGAGAGAGAUGAAGAGGGACAGAGGGAGAGGAGGGUGUUCUCUUCAUCACUCCAUGGUGGUCCUGGUUCUCCUGGUCUCCUCCCAUGUCAUCACUGGGUUCCUUGCCCUCCCAUUGCUCCUCUUGCUCUUCUUGUGUUUGUGUCUCCUGUGAC